UAGGGAAUCUUCGGCAAUGGGGGGAACCCUGACCGAGCAACGCCGCGUGAGUGAAGAAGGUUUUCGGAUCGUAAAGCUCUGUUGUUAAGGAAGAACGAGUGUGAGAAUGGAAAGUUCAUGCUGUGACGGUACUUAACCAGAAAGGGACGGCUAACUACGUGCCAGCAGCCGCGGUAAUACGUAGGUCCCGAGCGUUGUCCGGAUUUAUUGGGCGUAAAGCGAGCGCAGGCGGUUAGAAAAGUCUGAAGUGAAAGGCAGUGGCUCAACCAUUGUAGGCUUUGGAAACUGUUUAGCUUGAGUGCAGAAGGGGGGGGUGGAAUUCCAUGUGUAGCGGUGAAAUGCGUAGAUAUAUGGAGGAACACCGGUGGCGAAGGCGGCUCUCUGGUCUGUAACUGACGCUGAGGCUCGAAAGCGUGGGGAGCGAACAGG
rnacentral:rRNA from 1 species